rnacentral:rRNA from 1 species
UACGAAGGGAGCUAGCGUUGUUCGGAAUUACUGGGCGUAAAGCGCAUGCAGGCGGAUCGUUAAGUCGGGGGUGAAAUCCCGAGGCUCAACCUCGGAACUGCCUUCGAUACUGGCGAUCUUGAGUCCGGGAGAGGUGAGUGGAACUGCGAGUGUAGAGGUGAAAUUCGUAGAUAUUCGGAAGAACACCAGUGGCGAAGGCGGCUCACUGGCCCGGUACUGACGCUGAGGCGCGAAAGCGUGGGGAGCAAACAGG